UCAUCAAACCUGACGAGGGAACUAAACUAAGUUUACCCUCUGGGCAUAAUACCGUUUGAUUCCGAUAUUUCCUUCAUGAGCAACAAUAUCAUAUAAAAUUAAUAACUUCCAUUAUUUCGUCAAGUCCUGAACUCUUCAUAUGUAAUAAUUUAUACAUAAGUCAGAAUAAAGUGAUUAAUUGUGGAAAAUAUCAAAACUUAUACAAUUAUAAAAACUACAAUUUUUUAAAUUAGUUUUCAUUCUGAAGAAUAGUCGCACUGAAUCGACUGUUACAUAGAGAAAAUAAAAUAUAGAGUUCUUGAUCAAUUAAUUGAGUACAAACUUAGAUGUGAGAUUGAUUAUUAAGUAUAUUGCGACUAUUGACUGAAAUUCUCGCCACGUGUCAGAUAUGUAAGAUUGAUCAUAACUCAAAAUAUGUUCUUGGUAAAUGAACUUUUGAUUAACAAUCAAAUUUCCUCCAACCACAACGCAUUAUAAUAUACUAUUCGAAGUUUAACAAAGCCUAAAUUGUGUCUUCAAUAUUUAUAUUACCAUCACAGGUGCGCACGCUUCAUUUAUAUCUAUGAAACACUUAUGCGAACAGAACAAUAAAUAGAUAUGUAUAACUAAAACAAGGUACAGUAAUACCAUUUAUUUUUUGGUUUUUAUAUAUUCCAGCUGAGUAAGUUUUAUCUUAUUGAAUGAGUAAAAUCUUGUGGAUUAUUAUAAGAAUGAGAAUAUUACACGUCCUCUAUGCGAUUAGUUCCGUAGUAAAAGAAAAGCUUUUUCCGUAACGCAAACAUUAAGAAAUGGCUGAGAUUUCCCAUAAAGACCCAAGUUUUUUAUUAUAAUAUUUGUAUUAUAUGAAUUUUUAUUUUUAUUUUGUAUUUCUUAUUUUCCUAGAUAAGAGAUAAUGAAGAAGCUGCAUACAAUGUUCAAUUCAGUUAAUUUACAUAGAAACAAACUUAAAGAAGUGCUGAGGUGUCUCUAAGAUAAGUAUUACGAAAUAUGACAAAUAUGAGUAUAUUAAGUAUGUUCUAUGGUCAGAGCACGGCCAUGCACGCUGACAAUUCCCCAAGACGGAGGUGACGGCCAGAUGGGCGCCCGAGGAUGACAAUGACGCUACCGUCACAUUUUAUGUCACAAUUGCUGAAAAGGUUGACCCUCUAGGGAGGUUCUGGGCUUGCCAGCGUACGAAAACACUUCAAAUUAUCAAGUGACUUCUUGUAGUCCUUUUGUCCUUUCACAUUUCAAGUACUUAGGAGAGUUCUGUACACUAUGCCAACAACUGUUUAUUUAAUAGUAACUCUUCCAUAAUUUCCACAAAUAUACAGUCUGGUUUAUAUAUACAAUAAAACACAUUUCUUAUAAAUAGCCACAAAAAUGUAUUUACAAACACCAAAAUGAUUAAGCAAGAGUGAUUGAACCAAAAUAAAACUGUAUAAUAUUUUAAAUUUAAUUACACAUAUAGGCCUACUAGUAAGAGUAAUGCAAUAUAGAAUAAGACAUAUGUUUAGAAAUAUUGGCGACAAAUGGAAUAUUGCUGUUAUUAUUUUGGGUAAAAUAUCAAUCCAGUCAUAUUUAUUAAAGGAUACAUUUUAGUAAUUGAAUAAUAAUAAAAAAAUAAAUCUCCUUCAUAAAUUAAAAGUUUUAUUUUUCAGGGAUAUUUUUGAAGGUGUAGGGAAAAACAAUAAAACAGUAAUUUAUAGCUAAAUUAUAAUUAAUUACCAAAGAAAUAAGAUGGGAUGCUGAAGGAUGAUAUUAUUAUUAUUAGUGUUAUUUAGAAUGCUAUGAUUGUAACAAGAGUGGAAAAAAUUUAAUAUUAUCAAUUCAAGAACAAAUACAAAACAAACCAUGCAAUUAUGCAAAGGCGUAUAGCCAGUUGUUGACUUAAUAUCUCAUGUACAUUUACACUGCUUCCAAUUAUUAAUAUUAAACGUAAUGUAUUUUAGAUCACCAGUGUAUUUUUCGUAGAAAAAUCUCGAUAGAGAAAGAACUUGGCAGCUUCUUGGGAAAAAGAAAUGUUAUUAGUAAAUUUACGGGAUGCGUCCCUUCCAUUCUUAUAACGCUAACGCCUUUGCGGAAAGUACAACAAUAAAGUACGAUACAGCAUGUUAAGGAAACCUUUUCUUCGGUAACUUGCUUUCUAUAUGGCGUAUUUCACCAUAUACUUGGGGUUUUCUUUGGGUACAAAUAAUGCUUGCAAGGAAAAUAGCACGUAGUUUCAACAUAAAAAGUAGAAGAUUACGUAAGCAACUAUUUUUAAAAUAUUCCAUUGCAAUGAUUAUUAAAACGCAUGUCAUACUUUUAAAAUUUUAAAAUGUAAAAGUAAAGUUAAAAACUAACUUAAAUCUUAUUGCUUGAAAACCCUUUUAUUCCCUUGGGUCCAGCACCCAAAGUUUCAGGAAAAGUCCUCUAACUCAUGGUUAUUGACGACGAACCAUAAAAUAUAAUAAAAGGGUGAGACGAAAGGUUCAGCCAAAUUCGAUGUCGUGGAGGCCGGUUGUGUCUAAGUCAAAAGCAUUUAUUUUAAUAUCGCUCCCAGCCUGAACUCCGAUCUUUGGAUGUAGGAAUUACAUAACAUGUUCUAACCUGCCUAUACAGUUAUAACUUACGACCAUAGAACUUUCUUCUAGAUUCUAAUAUUUUCUUUUUUAACACAAUUUUCUUUUAAAAUUUAGAAAAUUAUUUAAUUUUAAAUUAACAAUUUAGCACAAUGCUGCAAAGCCGUACAUAUUGUGGGUUAAAUAUACUUUGUCGUUCAAAUUAACCUCAUAUUUUCAUUAAAAACAUAACUCCUCAGUAUAUAUGUUCAGAAUGCUUUUUAAUACCCGGAGAUUAACAAAUACUACGGUAUAAAGUGGUGUACACACCAUUGCUUUGGUAUCGUGUCUAACACGUCUUAGUCCUCUCAAUUGUGCAAUGAGAAUGCCUCUUAACCUAGAUUACACUAUAUUAUGUAGAAUAGGUGUCCGUCUUUGAUGUCCAAUCAAUGCAAAGAGUUUGUUCUAAUGGUUUUUAAGUUUCAAAGCAGUACUUAAAUGAUAAAAGUUCUCGUCACCGAAUUUUCACUUUCACUUUAAACUCUAUUAUUUUCGUUUAUUCAACGAAUAAAAAUAUCACGUAUUAAAAUAUAACUUAGUGUGCAGAUUGUGUUUUUUUUUUUCAUUCUGUUAUUUCUCAUGGUUACUAAUAAAAUCAGUGUAAAAUUAUUCACUAAUGCUCAUUGAAAAACCACGGAAGUGACAUGCUCAAUCAUCGAUCUUAUUGCUGCCUAUUAAAAUGAAGCUUCAUAAACAUU